rnacentral:tRNA from 1 species
GACGCGAUGGCCGAGCGGUUAAGGCGGUAGACUAGAAUUUCAUCUUGUCAGAUUCCUGUUUAUCUACUCUCUUCGGAGGCGCAGGUUCAAAUCCUGCUCGCGUCG